rnacentral:lncRNA from 1 species
CCCGCGACUCCACCCGCGUUGCCCCUCUAUAAAUACCCGCGCCCUCCGCACCUUUCCCCACCACCAGCAGAGAUCUCGUGCUCGCCGCUAUCAAUUCGUUCCUUCUCCACAGCAACACAUCCGCCUUCUAGAACCUUCUCGCCGCCGCCGCCGCCGCCACCACCCGUCGAAGCGAAGCAAAGCAAUGGCCGGAGUCGGAUCGAAGGCCCUCGCCGUGGUCGCCGUCCUGGCGGCCGUCGCCCUGUCGGUGGCCAACGCGGCUGAUGCGCCCGCGCCCAGCCCCGUCUCCGCCGCCGGCGCCGCGUCGGCGCCCUUCGCCGCGGCACUCGUCGCCUCCGCCGCCUCCUUCCUCUUCGCCGCCGUCCGCCACUGAGCCGAUGGGGGCCUGAUGCCUCGUGCCUGCCCUGCCUACCUACCUAGCAGUACUUCCACCACCGCCGCCUUCGCCGCCUAGAUCUAUUUAUUAUUAUUGGAGUGUUAUUCAGUAGUAGUAGUAGUAGGGAGAGAUUUCUUCGUAGCUCUCGUGUCGUCGUCGCAUUUUGGUCGGAUCUGGUGUGUCCUUGGUGGAGGUUGGGUUUCUACCGUAUCGUGGUGUGUGUGUGUGUGUGUGUCGGUUGUGUGAUCUGAUGAUCCCCCCUUGUAGAUACUCUGCUUUCAUCUCGCCGUGAUCGUGAGUGGUGAUUCUGUCUGGUUGCUACUGAUAUAUUAUUAUUUCUUCUUAUUAUUAUUGGUCCCAUUUGAGACAUGUGUUGUUGCUGAUUUGUGUAUUAUUUCUUUCUCUGCGCUUGAUUUAUCGUUUACUCUGCUGCGUUCUGUGUAUUGUUCGCUCCGUCGCUGCGAAAUUUUGCGUCGCGGUUGGGAUCCGUGACGCGUUAGAUUUGUUUCUACUUCCGAUCCGCGUCGCGUUGCAUCGACGCAGGUUCUUUUUUGUUGUUGCCAGGAAGUAAAUUAAUUAAUUAUUACGAUCUGAAAGACUGACUGACUGGGCUUUAACGUGUCUUGGUCUGUGGUGUGUUUCGAUCUGGGUAGUUUUUUAUUUCUGAUGAGGAUUCUCAGUCAGGCAGGAGAAUGAACCUUGGGGCGUGUGUAGUUUAAUGCCCUUCCUCUGCUGACAAAAGAUUGAUUCGGCGUCUUGUUUAUGAAG